UCCUCAAUAAGAAGGAAAGGUAUUCUUCAUCUUUGUUGUAAUUAUUCUAAUAUUUCUCAGUAAUUAUACCUCAUCAGUGACUUAUUGAUCAAUGCUAUUUGUUCCAAAAGUUUUCUGGUUGGAGUUAUUUGGACAUUUUAUUAUCUUAAUUAUAACUUGCUCAAAGCCUACAUGUUUAUCUUCUAUUAAGAGACUACUAUUGUUUGAAGUUGGAGUUUGAACAUGGAAAUGGGCAGGUUUGUUUUGGUUAUGAAGA
rnacentral:lncRNA from 1 species